rnacentral:rRNA from 1 species
UACGUAGGUGGCGAGCGUUAUCCGGAAUUACUGGGCGUAAAGCGCACGCAGGUGGUUACUUAAGUCUGAUGUGAAAGCUCCUGGCUUAACUGGGAGAGGUCGUUGGAAACUGGGUAACUUGAGGUGAUGAGAGGGGUGUGGAAUUCCCGGUGUAGUGGUGGAAUGCGUAGAUAUCGGGGGGAACACCAGUGGCGAAAGCGGCACCCUGGCAUUGACCUGACGCUCAGGUGCGAAAGCGUGGGUAGCGAACGGG